rnacentral:rRNA from 1 species
AGUGAACGCUGGCGGCGUGCUUAACACAUGCAAGUCGAACGAGAACGGAUUAUAGCUUGCUAUAAUUGUCAGCUAAGUGGCGCACGGGUGAGUAAUAUAUAGAUAACCUGCCCUCUAGAAAGGAAUAACAGUUGGAAACGACUGCUAAUGCCCUAUAUGCCUUUAAUACAUAAGUAUGCAAGGGAAACGCUUUAGUGCUAGAGGAUGGGUCUGUAUGGUAUCAGCUUGUUGGUGAGGUAAUGGCUCACCAAGGCUAUGACGCCUAACUGGUUUGAGAGGAUGAUCAGUCACACUGGAACUGAGACACGGUCCAGACUCCUACGGGAGGCAGCAGUGGGGAAUAUUGCACAAUGGACGAAAGUCUGAUGCAGCAACGCCGCGUGGAGGAUGACACAUUUCGGUGCGUAAACUCCUUUUAUAUAGGAAGAUAAUGACGGUACUAUAUGAAUAAGCACCGGCUAACUCCGUCG